UGGGAGUACCAUAGGGUGUUGUCUGGGUGGGCUGUCAUUGGGAGUACCAAGGGUUGUGCCUGUGUUGUCUGGGGUGGGCUGUCAUUGGGAGUACCAUAGGGUGUUGUCUGGGGUGGGCUGUCAUUGGGAGUACAUAGGGUGUUGUCUGGGGUGGGCUGUCAUUUGGGAGUACCAUAGGGUGUUGUCUGGGGGGGCUGUCAUUGGGAGUACCAUAGGGUUGUUGUCGUGGGUGGGCUGUCAUUGGGAGUACCGUAGUGUGGUGUCUGGGUGGGCUGUCAUUGGGAGUACCAUAGGGUGUUGUCUGGGGUGGGCUGUCAUGGGAGUACCAUAGGGUGUUGUCUGGGUGGGCUGUCAUUGGGAGUACCAUGGGGUGUUGCAAUGUGUUGUCUGGGGUGGGCUGUCAUUGGGAGUACCAUAGGGUGUUGUCUGGGGUGGGCUGUCAUUGGGAGUACCAUAGGGUGUUGUUGCUGGGUGGGCUGUAUUGGGAGUACCAUAGGGUGGUGCACGGUGUUGUCUGGGGGGGCUGUCAUUGGGAGUACCAUAGGGGGGUUUGUCUGGGGUGGGCUGUCAUGGGAGUACCAUAGGGUGUUGUCGGGGGUGGGCUGUCAUUGGGAGUUCCAUAGGGUGUUGUCGGGGGUGGGCUGUCAUUGGGAGUACCAUGAGGUGUUUGUUCUGGGUGGGCUGUCCUUGGGAGUACCAUAGG
rnacentral:lncRNA from 1 species